rnacentral:rRNA from 1 species
UACGAAGGGUGCAAGCGUUACUCGGAAUUACUGGGCGUAAAGCGUGCGUAGGUGGUUUGUUAAGUCUGUUGUGAAAGCCCCGGGCUCAACCUGGGAAUGGCAAUGGAUACUGGCAAGCUAGAGUGCGGUAGAGGGUAGUGGAAUUCCCGGUGUAGCGGUGAAAUGCGUAGAGAUCGGGAGGAACACCAGUGGCGAAGGCGGCUCGCUGGGCCGGUCCUGACACUGAGGCGCGAAGGCGUGGGGAGCGAACGGG